rnacentral:RNase_P_RNA from 1 species
GGUUCGGUCUGUCGCUGGCACCCAUACGGUGCGGGAGGAAAGUCCGGGCAGCGCAGGGCGUCCCGCUUGUUAAUAUGCAAGCUAUUGGCAACAGUAGAGUAGAGCAGAAGAAAAUAACCGCCAUGCUUCGUGUAUGGUAAGGGUGAGAAGGCGGUGUAAGAGACCACCAGAGGCAGGGUGACCUGCUGGCUGUGCUCCUCGGGAGCUGCAAGUUCAUGUAUACCGGCGUCAGAAGGUUGCCCGCCUGAAUCAAUUAUGAUGUCGUCGGAGGGUAGAACGCUAGAGUUGUUUGGUGACAUUCAGCGUAGAUAAAUGACAGACGUCUGAAUGCAAAGGCAUUCAGAUACAGGACCCGGCUUAUAGAACCUCU